rnacentral:lncRNA from 1 species
AUUCAUUGUGCAGGUGAGUGUCUUAGGUGAGGCUGGACUCUUCCUCCGAGAAGAUCUGAAAUGCAGUGAGCACUUUUGCUUGAAGACAGGGACUGAUUUUGGUAGCAUCCUUUGGUCUCUUCUAGUCUGGGAGUCAGAGAAAGUUUGCAUCAAAAUGUCAUCAGGCCAAAAACAAUCCAUUGAUACACUUGGUGACAUUAAUUGAGAAAAAAACAAUAUGGUCUGGCCAUGGAGGCAUGGUAUCCGUAACAUCCCCCAAAGGAGCUAAAGAAGAAAUCCACAAUUUACCAUGAGCAUUUCUCGUCUGAAGAUUGCCAAGCGAUUCCUCCAGGACAUUCCUCAAGAUCAAUUUCUGUUCAUCCACCUUGUCCUGGGAGGGACAUCAAUGGGUUUCCAUGUCCUUUGGCUUCUGGUUGAGUUCACUCAGUGGAGAACCCUGGCAAGAGGCAGGAAAAGGGGAGGAAGGUGAAAACCAUCCAUUUCUUGGAGAAGUGCCACGGUGGGGUUGCAAGUCCCAGGAUCAAGUUUUCGAUGUGUCUCUUUUUCCCGUAAAGUGGCUGAAAUCUGAAGCUGAAUCUGCAAGUGUCAUGGAGUCAUUGAAUCUCACAGUCUCAACUGAUAAAAGUUAUUAAAGGUCGUCUGGUUCAGCCUUCUA